rnacentral:rRNA from 1 species
GAUGAACGCUGGCGGCGCGCCUAACACAUGCAAGUCGAACGGUUAAAGCAUCUUCGGAUGUGUAUAAAGUGGCGAACGGCUGAGUAACACGUGGGCAACCUGCCCUUUGCACUGGGAUAGCCUCGGGAAACCGAGGUUAAUACCGGAUACUCCAUAUUUGUCGCAUGGCGAAUAUGGGAAAGCUCCGGCGGCAAAGGAUGGGCCCGCGGCCUGUUAGCUAGUUGGUGGGGUAGUGGCCUACCAAGGCAAUGAUGGGUAGCCGGGUUGAGAGACCGACCGGCCAGAUUGGGACUGAGACACGGCCCAGACUCCUACGGGAGGCAGCAGUGGGGAAUCUUGCACAAUGGGCGAAAGCCUGAUGCAGCGACGCCGCGUGCGGGAUGAAGGCCUUCGGGUUGUAAACCGCUUUCAGCAGGGACGAGGCCGCAAGGUGACGGUACCUGCAGAAGAAGCCCCGGCUAACUACGUGCCAGCCGCCGC